GACGAACCGUGCGAACGUUAUUCGGAAUCACUGGGCUUAAAGCGCGUGUAGGCGGGACGGCACGUCGGUCGCUGAAAGCCCCCGGCUCAACCGGGGAACGGGCGCCGAUACGACCGCCCUCGAGGAACGUAGGGGGACCUGGAACUUCCGGUGGAGCGGUGAAAUGCGCAGAUAUCAGGAGGAACACCAAUUGCGAAGGCAGCUCGCUGGGACGUUACUGACGCUGAGACGCGAAAGCGUGGGGAGCAAACAGG
rnacentral:rRNA from 1 species